rnacentral:rRNA from 1 species
UUCCGGUUGAUCCCGCCGGACCCCACUGCUAUCGGGAUAGGACUAAGACAUGCUAGUCAAGCGCUUUCUAGCUAAUGUGAGAGCGCGGCGUACAGCUCAGUAACACGUGGCCAACCUGCCCUUGGGACGGGAACACCCCCGGGAAACUGGGGUUAAUUCCCGAUAGGUGAAGAAGUCUGGAAUGACUCUUCGCUCAAAAGACGUUUAUGUCAUGCUCAUAUUCGUCGCCCAGGGAUGGGGCCGCGACCGAUCAGGUAGUUGGUGAGGCAAUGGCUCACCAAGCCUUUUACCGGUGCGGGCCGUGAGAGCGGGAGCCCGGAGAUGGGCACUGAGACAAGGGCCCAGGCCCCACGGGGCGCAGCAGUCGCGAAAAUUUUGCAAUACACGAAAGUGUGACAGAGCUAUCCCGAGUGCCAUCCGCUGAGGAAGGCUUUUACCCAGUAUAAAUAGCUGGGAGAAUAAGGAGAGGGCAAGUCUGGUGUCAGCCGCCGCGGUAAUACCAGCUCUCCGAGUAGUGUGGACGUUUAUUGGGCCUAAAGCAUCCGUAGCUUGCUAGAUAAGUCCUCUGUUAAAUCCACCGAUUCAAUCGUUGGAUUGCGGGGGAUACUGUUUGGCUAGGGGACGGGAGAGGUCGACGGUAUUUCCGGGGUAGGGGUGAAAUCCUAUAAUCCCGGGAGGACCACCAGUGGCGAAGGCUGUCGACUAGAACGCGCCCGACGGUGAGGGAUGAAAGCUGGGGGAGCGAACCGGAUUAGAUACCCGGGUAGUCCCAGCUGUAAACGAUGCAGGCUAGGUGUUUGGGCGGCCACGAGCCGCCCUAGUGCCGCAGGGAAGCUGUUAAGCCUGCCGCCUGGGGAGUACGGCCGCAAGGCUGAAACUUAAAGGAAUUGGCGGGGGAGCACCACAAGGGGUGAAGCUUGCGGUUUAAUUGGAUUCAACGCCGGA